UCUGUACUCCAUCCGUUCCAAAAUACUUGACUUCCAUUUGUCCAAAAAUGGAUGUACCUAUAUACUAAAACAUGUCUAGAUACAUAUAUAUUUUGACAAAUAGAAGGCAUGUAUUGUGCAACGGAGGGAGUAGAAU
rfam:Triticum urartu cultivar G1812 contig192347, whole genome shotgun sequence.